AUGAGAGGGACAGAUGAAACAGUUUAAAGACAAUGGCAGGAAAAACAUGCUGAAGAUUGAAACAAACCUUGGCUGGAAAUAUUUGAAGGUAUCUAGCCAGUCCACAAUGAAAGCUUCGUUGCACCCCAUGAGUCUUCUGGCAGAAAUGAUGGCGCCUGUAUUCUUUGGUUUCCCUAAACAUCACACCCUGCCUGUUUAUACGAGGCUCUUCAAUUAAGUCUGCACCCAAAGAUUCAAUAAGAGAGGGGAUCCUGCCAGUCCAAAGUGAACUCCUGAUGGACAUUGAAGUAUUCCUGUAGAGCUUGUAUCUUCGACACCAUGCGCAUUAGAAACUCCACUGAGUCCUUUCCUUCACCAAGGCAGGACCCAGUGACUCAUUACUGUUGAUAGGUCAGGGGCAGGUAAUAUUUUGUUUCAUGUUUAUUCAUUCCUCCAUGGAUUACCAGCCAUAUAUAUGGACACAUGCUGUAUUCUCAAGAUCUAUGCUGUUUUGUAGGAAUAGAGAAAAUGAUAUGUUUAGUCUGUUUUCAAAUGGUAUGUCAAAUUUUCUCAUUGUUUAUCAGUAAUAUUCACUACCUUGGUUAUAUAUGAGCAUCUUUAGGUUUUUCUAUAUUUAGCGGUUGCAAAUGUAAAAUGUACGGUAAACCAUUUAUGUUCCUCAUAUUGUACUGUAUUUU